UUCAUAAACAGCCAUCCAGGUGCAAAAGC
rnacentral:sRNA from 1 species